ensembl:miRNA
AAGUCUACAGCCAUACCACCCUGUACACGCCCGAUCUCGUCUGAUCUCUGCAGCUAAGCAGGGUCGGGCCUGGUUAAUACUUGGAUGGG